CAGGGGGUCACUAGGGGUAAAGGAAUGUAUCAGAGUCAUAGUAUUCACAACUUUUUUUUUUUUUUUGAUGGAGUCUCGCUGUCGCCCAGGCUGGAGUGCAAUGCUGCAGUCUCGGCUCACUGCAACCUGUGCCGCCUGGGAUUGAGUGAUUCUCCUGAUGAAAAAACAUGUUAAAUAAAAUUGUAUUCAAAAUGCUCAAAAUUUGGAUGCAUUUUUAUCAUAAAUGUAGAUCAUAAUAAAUAAGAAAAUGCAUUUUUUGCAUUCAAAAUUUAUAUUUCUUUUAAAAUGUUUUAUGAUUAUUGAAACCUAGUGGCAACAGGAUGCUAGAUUGACAUAAGUAUCCAUGUUUAACUUAAUAUAGGUACAGAUGGUUACAUAUGAAAAUAUAUUAUUGGGUUAGUAUACACACAUCUAUCUCCUUACUCUCUCAGCUGGGAGAGCCUGAAAAUCAUACUUUGCUAGCAAUGAGCAUACCUAGUACCCAGAUCUUGGUUUUGUAUGCCAUUAUCCAACAAAAGGAACCAUGGGUCCUUG
rnacentral:lncRNA from 1 species